AUUAAACGCUGGCGGCAUGCCUUACACAUGCAAGUCGAACGGCAGCACGGGGGCAACCCUGGUGGCGAGUGGCGGACGGGUGAGUAAAGCAUCGGAACGUAUCCUGGAGUGGGGGGAUAACGUAGCGAAAGUUACGCUAAUACCGCAUAUUCUGUGAGCAGGAAAGCAGGGGAUCACAAGACCUUGCGCUCUGGGAGCGGCCGAUGUCGGAUUAGCUAGUUGGUGGGGUAAAGGCCUACCAAGGCGACGAUCCGUAGCGGGUCUGAGAGGAUGAUCCGCCACACUGGGACUGAGACACGGCCCAGACUCCUACGGGAGGCAGCAGUGGGGAAUUUUGGACAAUGGGCGCAAGCCUGAUCCAGCCAUGCCGCGUGAGUGAAGAAGGCC
rnacentral:rRNA from 1 species